AGACGACAAAGAAAGCGUCAGCCAUAUCCAUCAAACUUGGAUCAAGUAAGCCUAAAGAAACUGUUCCAACUCUUGGCUCCAAAAAAUGGAUACACCAACAUCAGCUGGACCGAACUCCUUCAAUAAAGGAAAGCAUGGGUUUUCUGAUAACCAGAAACUAUGGGGGCAAAAUAUAAAAUCUCAUCUUGGAAAUGUCCAUGACCAAGACAAUUAAAUGAUGUUUUGAAAUUGGGGUGUGGUUUAAAACUGCAAGCACUUACUCUCUUAACUCCCUUAUUACCUAAACUUGUCUGGCUCCCAGGAACAGCCUUAAAGCACAUUUUAGAUACUGAAAUAGAAGGAAAGGAAAUGCAUCUUCAAACAUUUUUUGGAAUCUUACCACAUAUACCUUGUUAGAUUUGUGUAUUGUAGGGUGUUUGUUUUUGUAUUUUUGUAUUGUAUAUGAACUUUUACACCAUAAUAUAUACAAUUUUUAUUUGUCAAUUAAAACAUUUUUUAAAAAACACAUGAAUCUCAUGGUACAUGGACUUGCAUUAAAGAUUGGGGUUCAAAUUCUGCCCCUUACUACUUACCUAGCAUGGUAAGUAACGAUCUUGGUGUUUUGCCUUUUCUUUCCUUUGCCCCAUCUCUCUACUGCUAUUUAGUUGAGACCUCCAUCAUCUUUCACCAAGAUCAACAUAACAGUCUCCUAACUGGUCUCUCUGUCUCCAAUCUUACCCUCUACAGUCUGUCAUCAAUCCUAAUGAUAAAUGGAAAUGUGGUCAUCCAAAGUCCUCCAUCAAAACCCUUCAGUGACUCCCCAUUGGCCAGAGGGCAAAGUUGGAGCUUCAAAGCAAUGAUUCAUAGUUAAUUCAAUGAUCUUUGUAAUCCUUUAUGAUCAGUUUCCUCUUUUCACUCAGUGGCAGAUACUUGUAGUUGUCCUCAAAUUUCAUACUCUCAUUUUUCUUUAUUAAUAUAACCACACAUUUUUAACUGAGCUCAUUGAUCAUCAUAACAGAGUCUAUUGAAAGUCCUCAGCAGGCGGUGUGACGAUGUGACCAGCUCUGGCCAAGGAGCUGUAGGCAGAAGUGUCUUGCAGCAGCUCCUGUAAAUCUUAAAAGACAGCUGGUGCGUGUCUUUUUUCCUUUUUUUUUCCCUUCCCCCUUCCUGCUGCGCUGAAUAUGGAUAUGGUGAGUGAAUCUAGAGCAGCCAUUUGGAGGUAUGAAGAGAUCUUGGAAAUAGAGGCCAUGUGUGUUGAAACAAGACCGAACAACUCCAAGUUCCUGAAGACUUCAUUUCACCAACCCAGAACCUCCUUGAUCAUCACAGUUUUUUUUUUUUUUAAUAGAGACAGGGUCUCAUUCACUAUGUUGCCCAGGUUUGUAUGAAGUUUUACAGAAAAUUAAUACAAACAGAAAUCAGACCUUUAAGAGUUGAGAGUAAGUAGGAGAGUUAGGACUUGUACUUACUUAGCUAUUAUAUAGUAUAGAACCCAUUGAGUACCAGAAGAAACAUACAGUCAUAUUGUAGGGAGGAUGCUUUCACAUGGAGACAGGAGGGCAGCUUUCAAGGAAGAAGUGGAAUUUGAGUUUAACCAUGAAAGCUGAGUAAAGUAGAGAAGCAUUAAGAUGGGAGGGAAAGAGAGAAAAGAGGGAGUAGUAGUCUUGAUGACAGCAAGAUAACACACAUGACCUUGUCCUGCUCUUCAUUUUCCCAAGCAGGCACCAGAUACUAUAAUGUGGUCGAACCAUUUUACAUUUUCACCAGCAAUGAAGGAGGGUUCCUGUUGCUCUACCAUUUGGUACUGUCAGCGUUUUGGAUAUUAGCCGUCCUAAUAGAAAAUAAAUGCAAUUGAAAAAAAAUCUCCUGGGGCCAGGCGUGGUGGCUCACGCCUGUAAUCCUAGCACUUUGGGAGGCCGAAGUGGGCAGAUCAUGAAGUCAAGAGAUCGAGACUAUCCUGGCCAACAUGGUGAAACCUCAUCUCUCCUAAAAAUACAAAAAAUUAGCUGAGUAUGGUGGCACAUGUCUGUAAUCCCAGCUACUCGGGAGGCUGAGGCAGGAGAAUGGCUUGAACCCGGGAGGCAGAGGUUGCAGUGAGCCAAGAUCGUGCCACUGCACUCCAGCCUGGGUGACAGGGCUCAGACUCCGUCUAAACAAACAAAAAAAAUCUCCUGGAAGUCCCAUUUGAUCUUGGUUACAUGAGCUUACUAGAGAAUUUUGUUGUUCCCAACAUUAGCUGAGAAAUGUACUCUAAGAAGUGAAUAGACUAAAGUGGAACCAGGGUGCAGUGGAGAACGAGAGCUGUUAUCUAGAAAACCUUUCUCAGGCAUGUUUCAGCACACUCUGCUCCUGACGAUGGCUCUAUCAUCAAAGAAUUCUGUGGUCAGGUGUAUGGGAUAUGCUGCAUAGGCUCCCUAUGAGCCUCCAAAUUGUAAGUUAAAGGCUCUGAGAGCUUGGCAGUAAGUAGAAGACUCCUGGUCACAUUUGUUUAACCCAGUGUUUCCCAAACUCAUUUGGCCUUGGAACUCUAUUUCUUGGGACAUUUAUUAGCUGCUGGUGGAACCAGUGUUCAAAAAAUUACUCCCUAGACACUUCUUGCAUUGUUUACAAUGACCUCAAUCAGUUAACUUUUGGGACAAAGAGCUUCCAAGCCACUAUGCACAAUUACAGAGAAAAUAUAGGGAAGAUACUCUCGUGGAAAUGCAGUCUGAUGAGGGAGAGAGAACCCACAUAAAUAUAUCUAAACACCAACUACAGUCUCUGCCAAAUAUUUGAAACCAACUGCAGCUGUGCAGAGGAAACAUAAAUCUGUAGAGAGUGAAAAAGGAAAUAAAGGAAGUGGAUAAGCUGGAGGUCUGAAUUAAUUGGAGCCAGAAGGAGAUCAUCUGAGAAGGCUAAACUUCAUCCAUUAUUUUUCAACAGCAUGUAAUUUUCCUAAUUACAAAAGGUACAAAAUUUAGGAUGCACAGAAAAAUACAAAACAUUUUAAAAAUCUUCAUAAUCCCAGUACCCAUCUAUACUCCAUAUACCUUUUCUCUGUUGAGAUAAUUAUAAUCUACUUUUUGAUGUAGGUUCUUCAAAUCUCUUUUCUAUGCAUAUACUUUCCCUCUCAGAUUUGAUGCUCUGCAGGUUUUAUGUUUCCAACUUUUUACUCUUAUAAAAAUGGUACAUAAACAUCUCUUCACAACCAUCUUUUUUACAUAUCUCUGAUUAUUUUGUGCUCCAAAAGAAUUGUAAUCAUGGGGACUAACAUGUGUUGAAUUUUAUAAUGUGUUUACUCUGAACUAAGUUCUUUAUAUGCAAUAUCUUAUUUAAUUCUCAGAACAACUGUUAUACCAGUACUAUUAAUAUUGUAUUCAUAUUCUAGGUGAGGAAACAACGAUUUAGGGAGGUUACAUAGCUUGCCCAACAUGACACAGCUAGUAAAUGGAAUAACUGGGAUUUGAACCAGAACUGACUGACUUCAGAAUCCAAGUUCCAUCCAUUGUAGAAUACUCCACCCCAGGAGUCCACUUAAAUUCUCACUAGCAGAUUAACCUCC
rnacentral:lncRNA from 1 species